rnacentral:lncRNA from 1 species
CAAUCUUGUAGAUACUCCAAUGCAAAUUUUAAAACACCAAUUUUUUUCAUCAAAACCUGCAAAUGCAAAUGUUUUCAUAUCAAAACACACAUUUAAGCUCAUGAAAACACAAAUAUUCUCAUCAAAACAUCUUUUUUCUCAUCAAAACACAAAUCUUCUCAUAAAAAAAGAAGAUCAUCUUCUAAUCAAAACAACACCCUUUUUUCUUAUCAACCAUUUAUUCUUGUUAUUAAAAAAUCUCCAUAAAUUCACAAAUUCAAAACAUAAAUUCAUUUAUAUAAAACAAUAAUAACAUAAAAGGUGGAUUGGAGUUUAAGAAUUGAAAGUAUAUAAAAUGCGAGGAAAAUAUCGUUGUCAGGAUUUUAGAGCUAACAAGAACAAGUUAUUCUAUAGAUCUGAUUACAAAUCUUGUGACAACAUAUUGAUUGGUGCUGAAAUUGAAUUAACUACGAGAUGGCCUAUAUUCAUAGUAUGCAAACAGCAAAAGCAAUUGCAGGCAAAGUAUAGAAAAUUGCAGUCCAAAAACACAUCAAGGAAAUAGAGAGGUCUGAAGCCUUAAAAAUGUCUAAUAAGAGCAAAACCCAUGAGAAAAAGCCUACAUACCCUCUCAAUAAAAAAAAAUGCCGACCCAAUUCCAAGGUAGAGAUAAAAAUAAUAAGAUAUGAACGUCACUCAAUUUUAGCUAAACACUAGCAUCCCAAACAGGCUAAGCAAAGAUAUGACCUGAAAAGCAUAGAAAAAAGCAAUUCCAACAUGAAUUAGAAACCAAACGUAACCAGAUUCUAAUGAGAUACUUAUCUCGGAAACAUCAGAUGAAAUUGGUAAAGGAGCCAGAGAGAGCAUAAAAAACCAAGCAAGUCAUCCUCAAGCAACCAAACAUCUAGUCCAUACAGACCAACCACCACACCCCCAGUGAACAAGGGAAAUCCUAGGACAUUGUUGAAUAGUUUUAAAACAAUGGAUUACACACCCCACUCAUCAAGAGGGCAGCCGUAAUCAAGCCAUCCCAGCCCCGCCAGAAAAAAAAUCAAACGAAACAGAUGCAUCAACCUCAGACAAUCGCACCUCGGCGCUCAGUCCUUGGCUCGCCUCAACCUGAACAUGCAUCAGACCAAGCUGACCAAAAUAUGCUAGAAAGCCCUAUAGACGGAUAAGAAAGCCUGGAAACAACAACCGUUCGUGCGAAAAAGAAAGGCGAGAAUUAGAUGGCAACAACGAUAAACACUGUGUGAGUCCACAGUGGUUUCACUCAAUCUACGGUGUUGAAAAGGAAGAAAAGAAAAAAAAGUUUCAGGGGCAUAUUUGUAAUCUGAAAAAAUAGAGAGAGGGAGACAACCAUG